UAAAGAGGGUGCAAGCGUUAAUCGGAAUUACUGGGCGUAAACCGCGCGUAGGUGGCUGAGUAAGAAGGGUGUGAAAUCCCCGGGCUUAACCUGGGAACUGCAUCCAUAACUGCUCGGCUCGUGUAUAGGAGAGAAGAGUGGAAUUCCACGUGUAGCGGUGAAAUGCGUAGAGAUGUGGAGGAACACCAGUGGCGAAGGCGACUCUUUGGCCUAUAACUGACGCUGAGGCGCGAAAGCGUGGGGAGCAAACAGG
rnacentral:misc_RNA from 1 species